rnacentral:lncRNA from 1 species
AGGGGCUUGUCCAGCACCUGGAACAGUAUUUCAGAUUCAAUCUGCUGAUGUCUAAAAUGUCCGAGGUGUCCAGCAGGCCAAGGCCAGGAAAAACUACAGUACUGCGAGGGAGGCUGUUGUUAUCCGCUUCUGUGGCUUCCUGCAUGACACACUAACACAUCGGAGCAACCUGUCCGCUUGUCUGCAGAGGUCCACCAUCACCAUAGCAGAAGCCCACAGCUCCUUGUGCUCAACACAAGUAGUACUUAAGAAGUACAAAACCAGAUUUUGGUGACACUGAACUGGAAACCCUGGUGGACCACUUCAAGCCUGUCCCGGAGACCUCUGUCAUCCAUGUUGAAAGGAUCCCUGACCAGUGGACUGUCCUGAAGGUGCUGAUGUACCUAGAGGCUAAGUCCCUGCAGAAGAUGUCCUGGUUCCGUGUCAACAGGAGCCAUCAGCAUUCCUGCCCUGAUUUGCUGGCAUUGGUUGACCUGGUCCUGUCCUUCCCUGCCUUCCCUGUCCUCUCCAGAGAUCAGGGAGUAUGAUCCGAUAAAAACUGUGAUGUUGUGGCACCAGGACUCUGUCAGGAGCAGGAGGCCAGACUUCAUGGACUGUGCAAAGAGGGUGAUUGCGGUGGAGAGUGAGAAGUAUGAUGAGG